rnacentral:tRNA from 2 species
GCUCCUAUGGUCUAGUGGUUAUGACGCUUCGUUGUGGCCGAAGCAGCCUGUGUUCGAUUCACGGUGGGGGCA